GGCAGAGGGAAGAAAGGGAGGCUCUUCGGAGCUUUCGCUGAAGGAGGGGCUUGCGUCUGAUUAGCUAGUUGGUGAGGUAACGGCCCACCAAGGCGACGAUCAGUAGCCGGUCUGAGAGGAUGAACGGCCACAUUGGGACUGAGACACGGCCCAGACUCCUACGGGAGGCAGCAGUGGGGAAUCUUCCGCAAUGGACGAAAGUCUGACGGAGCAACGCCGCGUGAACGAUGACGGCCUUCGGGUUGUAAAAGUUCUGUUAUACGGGACGAAUGGCGUAGCGGUCAAUACCCGUUACGAGUGACGGUACCGUAAGAGAAAGCCACGGCUAACUACGUG
rnacentral:rRNA from 1 species